rnacentral:rRNA from 1 species
AGUGAACGCUGGCGGUAGGCCUAACACAUGCAAGUCGAACGGCAGCACAGUAAGAGCUUGCUCUUACGGGUGGCGAGUGGCGGACGGGUGAGGAAUACAUCGGAAUCUACUUUUUCGUGGGGGAUAACGUAGGGAAACUUACGCUAAUACCGCAUACGACCUACGGGUGAAAGCAGGGGAUCUUCGGACCUUGCGCGAUUGAAUGAGCCGAUGUCGGAUUAGCUAGUUGGCGGGGUAAAGGCCCACCAAGGCGACGAUCCGUAGCUGGUCUGAGAGGAUGAUCAGCCACACUGGAACUGAGACACGGUCCAGACUCCUACGGGAGGCAGCAGUGGGGAAUAUUGGACAAUGGGCGCAAGCCUGAUCCAGCCAUACCGCGUGGGUGAAGAAGGCCUUCGGGUUGUAAAGCCCUUUUGUUGGGAAAGAAAAGCAGCAGGUUAAUACCCCGCUGUUCUGGCGGUACCCAAAGAAUAAGCACCGGCUAACUUCGU